rnacentral:rRNA from 1 species
UACGUAGGGUGCGAGCGUUAAUCGGAAUUACUGGGCGUAAAGUGUGCGCAGGCGGCGUUGCAAGUCGAGUGUGAAAUCCCCGAGCUUAACUUGGGAAUUGCGCUCGAAACUACGAUGCUCGAGUGUGGCAGAGGAAGGUGGAAUUCCACGUGUAGCGGUGAAAUGCGUUGAUAUCGGAAGGAACGCCGGUGGCGAAAGCGACGUACUGGACCUCUUCUGACGCUGAGGCGCGAAAGCUAGGGGAGCAAACGGG